rnacentral:tRNA from 1 species
AGCGGAGUAGAGUAGAGGUAACUCACGAGGCUCAUAACCUCGGGACACUGGUUCGAUUCCAGUCUCCGCAACAA